rnacentral:misc_RNA from 1 species
GCAUAACUUCAAUGUUUACGGCUAUAAAACAAUCGACUGGUGGGACCCAUUCCUUCUCAAUUAGGUAGGCUUUCAAGUCUGAUUUCUCUGGAUUUAUCUAAUAAUUUACUCAAUGCAACAAUACCAACCUCCUUGUUUGAUUUGCGUUAUUUAGAUACACUACUCCUUCAGUGUGACCAGCUCAUGGGUCAUAUAGGUCAAUUCAAGCAUAAUUCCUUAAGUUAUAUUGAUUUGAGCAGUAAUAAGUUGGAAGGGGCAAUUCCAAGUUCAGUUUGCAAUCAUAAACGACUCCAAGUUCUUGACUUUUCCAACAAUAGCUUUAGCGGUGUCAUCCCACAUUGUUUGGGGAACUUUAACAAUUAUCUGUUGGUGUUGCAUCUAGGUAUGAAUAAUUUCCAAGGAAGUAUCCCCACAUCAUUUUCAAGGGACAAUAGCUUUAGAUAUUUGAACUUUAAUGGCAAUCAAUUGGGAGGGAGAAUUCCACCUUCUAUUGCCCAUUGCAAAAACUUGGAAAUUUUGGACAUUGGCAACAAUAAGAUAGAUGAUACCUUCCCUUUUUUUCUGGAAACACUUACACAACUACAGGUUCUUGUCCUACCAUCCAACAAACUACAUGGAUUUCUGAAGGGUGCAAUUGCCGAUUGUUCCUUCUCUGAGUUGCGAAUUUUUGACAUGUCCAACAAUAGUUUAAGUGGAACUUUGCCACUUGAUUACUUCAGCAGUCUUAAAGCCAUGAUAGUUCCUGAUCAAAACAUUGGGUACAUGGAAGCAAGCACGGCAUCAAACACUUACCAAUAUUUUGUGCAUAUGGCAUGGAAAGGAUGGGGGAUUGAGUUGAUCAUGAUCCAAACUAUGUUCGCAAAAAUUGAUUUUUCAGCCAACAAAUUCACAGGGACUAUACCUUGGUCAAUCGGGAAGCUUGAAUCACUUAAACAACUCGAUCUUUCUCAUAAUUACCUCACUGGUAAUAUUUCACGUCUUUUGGGAAAAUUAAGAAAUCUUGAAUCAUUAGAUCUCUCUUCAAAUAUGCUUACUGGAAAGAUUCCAAUACAGUUGGUAAACUUGAUAUUUCUUUCUGUCUUUCGUGUUUCACAUAACCAACUUGAAAGACGCAUACCCCUAGGCAAGCAACUUGAUACAUUUGAUAGUAGUUCAUAUGAAGGAAACUCAGGAUUGUGUGGAUUUCCCUUGAAAAAGGCAUGUAAUGAUGGGGAAAGGCAACCAAUAACUCCAUUAAAAAAUGUUUCAGAGUCUGAAAAUGGAUUUGGAUGGAAAGCUGCUUUGAUAGAGUAUGUAUGUGGUUUCAUACUUGGUCUCACAAUGGGAUAUCUGGUGUUCAGAACCAAAAAACCUAUAUGGUUGGUAAAGAUAGUUGAGGGCAAAGCAAAAGCAUACAGAUCUAAUAAAAGAAAUAAAAAAUUCAAUUCAGUCAAGAUCUUAAGGAACAUGUUGAAUAAUUAGAGGGAAGUGAUUGUUGGCAAGUGGAAAUAGGCUUAAAUGCAUUCCUCAGAAAGUCAAUAGCUUGCACCAAAACAGCAGCUUCAAAGGAAAGGGAAAAUCUACUUCAUUGCUUCUAUUAAGUUCUGUUGUUAUGCUCCUUUUUUAAUAUUUUCACAAUAAAAUAUUUAUAUUAUUUUCCGAAAACUUUUUACCUAAUUUUUGAAAUAUAAAUAUGUAAUUGUUAAUUUUCAUGAUAAAUAAAUAUAUACGCUAAAUAUUAAUGUUUCUAC